ACCCUGGAGGAGGGCAUGGCAACCCACUCCAGUAUUCUCACCUGGAGAAUCCUGUGGACAGAGGAGCCUGGCGGGCUACAGCCCAUAGGGUCUCAAAGACUCGGACGUGACUGAAGCAACUUAGCACACAUGCUCCCAGGAAAAUCUGAUUCCAGCAGUGACUUGAGAAUCACCCGUUCACACAACCAGGAACAAGAUGCCCCAGGAAUGCGGUUUGGACGAUGCUGUCCCAGAACAGUCUGUGCCCCCCCGGGCGUGGAGGUGCCGGGCCUGCAGGCAGGUGCUGCGACCCAGGAGUCACGAGGUGGGGUUGCCUCUCGUGAUGUGCGGUAUUUCAGAGUCUCAAUGCUCCUGCUUCUGCAAUGGGGACAACAACUGCCGUGUGGCAGGCACGUGACCGGGACGCAUGCCAGGAACAACGGCAGCUGUGGAAGGAGCCGUGAGAGAUGAAAUUUGGCCGUGCCAGCAGCCCCAGGACACUCACGCAGCAGCGGUGGGGCCCCAGGCCACACCAGGCCCCCAGCUCAACCUCAGCAGACCCGCGUCCACCACCCUGUGGCUUCCCCUCCAGC
ensembl:lncRNA